AGAGUUUGAUCCUGGCUCAGGAUGAACGCUGGCGGCGUGCCUAACACAUGCAAGUCGAGCGAGGGUUUGCUCAGUAUUGAGUAUUCUAAGUCUAGAAUGUUCAAUUCUGAGCAAAACCAAGCGGCGGACGGGUGAGUAACGCGUGGGUAACCUGCCCUAUACACAUGGAUAACAUACUGAAAAGUUUACUAAUACAUGAUAAUAUAUAUUUGCGGCAUCGCAGAUAUAUCAAAGUGUUAGCGGUAUAGGAUGGACCCGCGUCUGAUUAGCUAGUUGGUGAGAUAACUGCCCACCAAGGCGACGAUCAGUAGCCGACCUGAGAGGGUGAUCGGCCACAUUGGAACUGAGACACGGUCCAAACUCCUACGGGAGGCAGCAGUGGGGAAUAUUGCACAAUGGGCGAAAGCCUGAUGCAGCAACGCCGCGUGAACGAUGAAGGUCUUCGGAUCGUAAAGUUCUGUUGCAGGGGAAGAUAAUGACGGUACCCUGUGAGGAAGCCCCGGCUAACUACGUGCCAGCAGCCGCGGUAAUACGUAGGGGGCUAGCGUUAUCCGGAUUUACUGGGCGUAAAGGGUGCGUAGGUGGUCCUUCAAGUCGGUGGUUAAAGGCUACGGCUCAACCGUAGUAAGCCGCCGAAACUGGAGGACUUGAGUGCAGGAGAGGAAAGUGGAAUUCCCAGUGUAGCGGUGAAAUGCGUAGAUAUUGGGAGGAACACCAGUAGCGAAGGCGGCUUUCUGGACUGCAACUGACACUGAGGCACGAAAGCGUGGGUAGCAAACAGGAUUAGAUACCCUGGUAGUCCACGCUGUAAACGAUGAGUACUAGGUGUCGGGGGUUACCCCCCUCGGUGCCGCAGCUAACGCAUUAAGUACUCCGCCUGGGGAGUACGCACGCAAGUGUGAAACUCAAAGGAAUUGACGGGGACCCGCACAAGUAGCGGAGCAUGUGGUUUAAUUCGAAGCAACGCGAAGAACCUUACCUAAGCUUGACAUCCCUCGGACAGGUGUUUAAUCACACCCUUCCUUCGGGACUGAGGUGACAGGUGGUGCAUGGUUGUCGUCAGCUCGUGUCGUGAGAUGUUGGGU
rnacentral:rRNA from 1 species